UGGAGAUCCCUCCUUUGUGGGGUAUUUUCUGCAAACCUUUAGAUCUUUAGAUGUAGAUGGAUCUGGUCAAGAGGAAUAUUUUGCCAGAAGCUAAGAAUAAUUUGGUGUAACUUAUUGUAGAGUAUGACUCUAUGCUAUGACGAAGACUGCAAUUAGUAAUUUUAUAUGCAAGAAGAAACAUCUCAAAAGAACAGUGGGGUAACUUGUUUUCCACCAUAUGCACGGGCAUGUAUAUGACAAUGACAUACUUCAAGAUGAACCGGACAUUUCCUGGUAAAAAUGACCGAUUCCACCUUCCUGCAAUUCAGUAUCAUAUUCUGUAGGUGUUCCGAACAGAUUAUGCCAAUGAAACUCUGGAGCAUCAAAUAUAGCACUUCAGGAAAAAAACAAACAAAACAUUUUCCUUCUGUGAACAAACUUGGACACCUUACAGAGAAGUACUGAAUGUUGAUUCUCUUGAGGCGAUGCUUCAAUAGAAAGAGUGGGCAUGUUCUGAAGAUUUUGUUUUGCCAGUUGCAAGUUACUCAAAGGACGGUUUGAAAGGCAGUAACUGAUAAGCUGAAGAUCCUGCUGCACUUCUUAAAGCAAUCACCUGUGGCAAGAUCUUUCAUCACAGUGCUUUGACAGAGGCCUCCAACAAACGAAUCCCUCCCAAAAGUGGAUGGGAGUUAAAGCAUUGUGAAGUAGUGAAGAGGCAGCUCUCAGCAGAACUGAAACCAUUUCUAAUGUGGCCAAACUCUUCCUUCAGUCCUGACAGUGGACAAAUAUCAGAAAGAAAAAUGCAAGUGAGAUGAUAAAACUGUAGAAGAAUCUAUCAACCUUGGAAAAAGCAGCUGGUGUUGGGACUACAGGAGGCUCAGAAGCAGAACCAAUCACAUCUCCAAUCAACAAAGCAACCUGCUUCAUGGGAAUAGGGCAAUGAAAACAUCCAAAAGACUUCAUAUUUUAUCUACGUGUGUAAACAAGGAAAUAUGAAAGAAUUUGAGAGGCAUAUGGAUGAACUGCACGCAUGCAUACUCACAUUAUAUUUCACAUGCACAGAACACGUACUUCAUAUGUUAACAUGGAAUGGCAUCUGCAGUCUGAAUUUGAUGCUUAUUAGUUGUUUUCACUCUUCAAAUUAACUGACUUGUGCAUUAAUCAAUACUAAAGAUGCCCAGGUAUUUCUCCAUCACUUUGAAGAAAUCACGCUUUCCACAAUCCCAUCUUUGAAUAUUUGUUUCUUUUCACUGCAGUGUCCUGUGUUUUAUCACUUAAAUGCACGUGCUGUAACAAAACACGUGUUUUUUAAAAAACACCUUAAUCUUUAACUGCUGUAAUUUCUGUUGCAAGAAACAGAGAUAAAUCCUUCUGAAAUUAUUUUUUGUGUUCUACUCCAGGUUGAUGGUUGGACUAGAUAGAUUUAUUGCUCUUUCCAACCUUAAUAAUUCUGUGAUUCUACCAUCCCAUCCUCUCUCAUCUGACUCCAUGCUGUAGAGACUCUGUUUUUGACCUCUCCUCCUGUGGAAACCACCUCAUAUUCUUGAUGAUCUUACUGCCUUGUUCUUCUGUAGUUCUAGAUGACAGAUUUAUGGAAAUGAGAAGAACUUGAAAUGAAAGCAGUGCUCCAAAUUUGGAUUUCUCACAGAUUUUAUGCAGUGGUUUGUAGCGCUGUUCUACUAUGCUGCUGGGUGGUCUAUUUCUCUUGUAGCAAUUUCUGGUGUUUAUCGUUGAAAAUCUUCUUCCAUAACAUUUGUCCAAGCUACCCAAACUGCUCCUUCAAUAACCAGAUCAGUUCUUGGCCCUUACUAAGACACGAUUCCUAUUUCUGGUGUGCUUGGAAGAAAAAAGAAGCUUAUUGUUUUGUUUGUUACCUUGCCUUUAUAUCUAACUGUACCACAAUUUACACUUCACUUCUACCUUCCUCCUACAGAUUUCACUCCUACAAUUUAAUGACUAUGUUUUUAAUUCCCAAGAGUCUCAUUUACUCCUGUUCAGCAGUGCUAGCUUCUUUUUCCAAGUGUAGAAGUAGAAUGACACUCUUUUUAAUUGAUUUAGAUUUAUGUUGUUACUAAGCAUCACACAGAAACAUGCUGCAAGGUUCCAUGAUACCAUUAAGCAUUUUAGUCUACAACUAAUCCUUUUACUUAACCUUUCAAAUUGAGAAACACUGUGGUGGAUAUUCUGCAUGGCAUCUCUUUAUUAGAACAGAACUCUUGCAUAUCCUCACUGGUCUUCCCAUCACUGUAUGCUGCAUGUGUACUUGCAGUGCCUCAGUAGCACUGUAAUACUAUGUAAUUAGUUUGCCCUUUCAGAGAGGAUCACGAGGACCAACACUGAAUGUAUAAUAAAACUGUAUAAGUAUCAGAGCUGCAUACUCACAACAAUGUACGUAGAAAAGAGAUGCUGCAACUGAAAAUCACUCCCUCCUCAGCAAUGCAUAUUAAAAGAUCUUCUGCCUGUCAGGAAACUGUUUCUCCUCAAAAGAACUGGUCAAUAUGUCCACCCACUACUAAUGCUGUCUGUUUCCUCCUUCCUGCUUUGGACUCAUCCAGACAUACUUGGAAUAAAAUCUGUCCCUUGAUGAGAUUUCCAUGGCAGCACUGAACUCAGUGGAAACUGCCGCAGGGAUGGCAGCCCUUGAAAGUUAUGAGAAUGCUGAUGCAAAAUGUUGCUACUGAAGAAUCAUAAAGGUUGGAAAAGACCUCAAAGAUCAUCUAGUCCAACCAUCAGCUUGGCAUUGAACGUAAAAAAUAACUCUGGAAGUUAUAACCACCAUGCCACUAAACCAUGUCCCUCAGUGCUACAUCUACACAUUUUUUGAACAUUUCCAGGAACUCUGCCAUUACCCUGAGCAGACUGUUCCAACACUCCAUCACUCUUUCUGAGAAUAAAUUUUUCCUAAUAUCCAACCUGAACCUCCCCUUGUGUGACUAAAGGCCAUCUCUUGUCCUUUUGCUGUUACCUCACCGAAGCCACUUAAAACAUAAUGUAUUUUAAUGGUGAAGGUAUUUUUAUCUAAUUCCACAUAAAACUGAGAACAGAAUUAAGACAAAAAUUGAGUAAAUGUAUACAACAUAUAGAAUAAAAUAUGAGUCUAAAUAAUGCAGCCAAAAUGCACCAUUGUUCUUCACCCACAGAACAUAGUAAUAGUACAAAAUUAGCAGAGAAAAAUCAGAAUUCCUUUUAAGCAGAAUAAGCAAGCUGAGAGACGUAUCUUUAACCAUUUAGAAACAAAAAACAGGACUUUUUUUUUUUUUUUUUUUUUAAGUCAACUGAAGUCAGUCACAUUUAAGCUGUUGAGCUCUAGCCCUGCUUUUUCUAUCAGUCACUGUGUUAUGCAUUUCCCUCUUUAUCUUCUGUCAUAUACAAUCUCCUGUGACUAUGGAAACAUCCAGUUCCUAUCAUCUGUAUUUAUGUGCUAAGAUAUCACAGCUAGAAACAUACUGACUUACUCAAUUUUGAGUGAAACUAUUUUGGAAAAUAACCCCUUAAAAUGUCACACCAAAAAAAGCUUAAAAAGUUUUUGCCAUUGACUUCAAAGAGCACAGAGAAAUUAUGGGCAGAAAGUGUGCCAUAAGCAUGAUAAAAAUAAAUUUCUUAGUCUAAAAAUUUCUACUCUU